UACGAAGGGGGCUAGCGUUGUCCGGAAUUAUUGGGCGUAAAGAGCUCGUAGGCGGCUUGUCACGUCGGGGGUGAAAGCUCGGGGCUUAACCCCGGGUCUGCAUUCGAUACGGGCUGGCUGGAGUGUGGUAGGGGAGAUCGGAAUUCCUGGUGUAGCGGUGAAAUGCGCAGAUAUCAGGAGGAACACCGGUGGCGAAGGCGGCAUCCUGGACCGGCAUUGACGCUGAGGAGCGAAAGCCAGGGGAGCAAACGGG
rnacentral:rRNA from 1 species